rnacentral:tRNA from 1 species
GCUCAGCGGGUAGAGCAUGGUACUUGCAACGCCAGGGGUGUGGGUUUGAUUCCCAC